AAAAUUAUUUUUAUUAUUUUUAUAUUUUAUUUAAAUAAUAAUUUAUUAUAUAUAUAGAUAACAAGGGUAUAAGAGUCUUUUGCCAUUUAAUGAAGAAGAUAUUUUUGAAAAUGUCCCUUUAGUGGUGGUAAAUAAGAAAAGUGGUAUCAUGAAAGUGUUAAACAUAAAAUUUCCCCAAAUGUAUUAAAAUAUUGUUUUAGUAUAAUCAAAACUAGCAAAUUAUGAGCAAGUAUUGCAUUAUGGACAAAAUCAAUUCUUGAUCAAUGAUAAAAUCAUAUAUAGUUUGCUAAAUUUUCACAUUUGAAAGUCUCAAAUAUCCAUCACAAACACAACCUUAAAUCUUUCUCCUUUUCCCUACUCUCACUC
rnacentral:lncRNA from 1 species